rnacentral:rRNA from 1 species
CCUACGGGAGGCAGCAGUGGGGAAUAUUGCACAAUGGGGGAAACCCUGAUGCAGCGACGCCGCGUGAGUGAAGAAGUAUUUCGGUAUGUAAAGCUCUAUCAGCAGGGAAGAUAAUGACGGUACCUGAUUAAGAAGCCCCGGCUAACUACGUGCCAGCAGCCGCGGUAAUACGUAGGGAGCAAGCGUUAUCCGGAUUUACUGGGUGUAAAGGGAGCGUAGACGGCAGGACAAGUCUGGAGUGAAAGGCCGGGGCUUAACCCCGGAACUGCUUUGGAAACUGUGGAGCUGGAGUGCAGGAGAGGUAAGUGGAAUUCCUAGUGUAGCGGUGAAAUGCGUAGAUAUUAGGAGGAACACCAGUGGCGAAGGCGGCUUACUGGACUGUAACUGACGUUGAGGCUCGAAAGCGUGGGGAGCAAACAGGAUUAGAUACCCUAGUAGUC